rnacentral:rRNA from 1 species
AUUGAACGCUGGCGGCAGGCUUAACACAUGCAAGUCGAGCGGGGUGAUGGUGCUUGCGCUAUCACUUAGCGGCGGACGGGUGAGUAAUGCUUAGGAAUCUGCCUAUUAGUGGGGGACAACAUCUCGAAAGGGAUGCUAAUACCGCAUACGUCCUACGGGAGAAAGCAGGGGAUCACUUGUGACCUUGCGCUAAUAGAUGAGCCUAAGUCGGAUUAGCUAGUUGGUGGGGUAAAGGCCUACCAAGGCGACGACCUGUAGCGGGUCUGAGAGGAUGAUCCGCCACACUGGGACUGAGACACGGCCCAGACUGCUACGGGAGGCAGCAGUGGGGAAUAUUGGACAAUGGGGGGAACCCGGAUCCAGCCAUGCCGCGUGUGUGAAGAAGGCCUUAUGGUUGUAAAGCACUUUAAGCGAGGAGGAGGCUCUUUUGGUUAAUACCCAAGAUGAGUGGACGUUACUCGCAGAAUAAGCACCGGCUAACUCUGUGCCAGCCGCCGCCGUAA